GGGAUUGUGGUCUAGUGGUAUGAUUCUCCUUUCGGGUAGGAGAGGCCCCGAGUUCGAUUCUCGGCAGUCCCC
rnacentral:tRNA from 1 species